rnacentral:lncRNA from 1 species
UGAAGGUCUGCUACAACCAUCUUUCUUUAAUCCACCAUGGCACUGCACAGACCUGCUUAAAAAGCUGCUGGGUAAGCUGCCCCUCAUCCUGCAACAAGCUGCUCUAGUAUUGCCCUGGCACCCAAAGCUUUGGGAUAGGCAUUGCAGCUGCAGUGCUACUGCUGCUCAGGUUACUUGGGAAAAGCCCAUACCUAUAGCCAGCCUAUGGAUGGCCCACAGAGAUCAUCCUGUGCCACAGGAAUUAGUGACCCCCUGGAGAACGUCUGCACUUGCUCCAGGCUCCAUUGCCCUUUCUCUUGCACUGGGCAGCUGAUCAACACUAGGUUGCUAAGGGUGGAGAGAUUGUUCUCAGCCUGUCUUCAUGUGGAAAGGUGCUGCUUUCAUCUUGGACUUGGACGGAGGGGUAUGUGUGUCUAACAGCCUCUUUUUUGCCUCCCAACCUGUAUCUGCUGGUUUAAUAGGAGGUGCUGCCUCUCUAGACCUUCUCAGCACUCUAACUUUUAUUGCAUUUGAAUGUCUCAAAGAAUCAAAGCACACAAGGUGUAUGAGAGGCCUGGCUGAGGGAAGGCACCUGUGUGUGUCCUUCUUGUCUAGCAUGCUGUGUUGAGAGGUGCAGAAAUGCCUGUCGAUAUCUCCACUGCAGACAUUGCAAAAGCUUCGUCCCACCUGGAAGAUCAAUUUGAAAUGGAUCCUGUGGCAUGCCAGGUGCUGUCCAGAGAGCUUGACAGUGGAGGAAACAGUGAAAGAAUGGCGACUGUGGUACCAUUGAUCAAGCCAGUGUGUCUGUUCUUGGUAGAGCGGCUAAUAAGGCCACCGGUGCAGUGAGAACGUAAACCCCAGAGGAUACUUGAUUCCUCCCCCCCACCCCGAGGAUGCUUUCAGACCCAAGUCUGGUCACUUUGGGAAUGCGCAGAGUGGCUGGAUCUGGGACUGUACAAAUCCGAAAUAGAAGUUGGCAAUUACUCCAGAGAGAUCAUCGUCUGCCUCAAUACAGGAAACAAAUAGAUUGGCCAGCUGAGGCAAAGAAGGCAGUGGAUAACCCUGUUUCAAAGAAAUGCUCCACUUGGAAACUGCAGAAGAAGGCUCAUCAAUCUUUAUACAUCCAGAAUGGAAGCAGAUCGGCAGAGCAGAGCACCAGAGUCCUUCCCAUUCAGAAGUCCAUCGGCUACUAG